GUAGUCAUAUGCUUGUCUCAAAGAUUAAGCCAUGCAUGUCUAAGUAUAAGCAAUUAUACAGCGAAACUGCGAAUGGCUCAUUAAAUCAGUUAUCGUUUAUUUGAUAGUACCUUACUACAUGGAUAACCGUGGUAAUUCUAGAGCUAAUACAUGCUAAAAAUCCCGACUUCGGAAGGGAUGUGUUUAUUAGAUUAAAAACCAAUGCCCCUCGGGGCUCCUUGGUGAUUCAUAAUAACCUCUCGAAUCGCACGGCCUUGCGCCGGCGAUGGUUCAUUCAAAUUUCUGCCCUAUCAACUUUCGACGGCUGGGUCUUGGCCAGCCGUGGUGACAACGGGUAACGGAAUAA
rnacentral:rRNA from 1 species